rnacentral:lncRNA from 1 species
AAUCGUCAUCAAUGAAUAUACGAAGCUUUUAUCACUGGAGCUUACGAUUCCAAGAGGUGCUUGUAUAUAUCCGUUGGUGCCUUCCAUUAUAAAAUUGAAGCAUGAUAGAAGACCUAAAAAAUUUAUUGUUGAUGUGGUUGGGAGGAUAAUAGAAGGUAAACGAGAUCGUUGUUGUUUCGAACUUUCUCUUCGAGAUAAGACUGGUCAUAAAAUACAAUUGUUUUUGUCCGCCCUGAAGCCUUCCGAUGUUAUAUGUACCAUUCUAGCGGUGCAACGAAAGUCUAUCAUAUACGUAUCACGUGUCAAGUUGGUUCACCUAC